rnacentral:rRNA from 1 species
GUGAGGAAUAUUGGUCAAUGGGCGGGAGCCUGAACCAGCCAAGUCGCGUGAAGGAAGAAGGAUCUAUGGUUCGUAAACUUCUUUUGCAGGGGAAUAAAGUGCAGGACGUGUCCUGUUUUGUAUGUACCCUGAGAAUAAGGAUCGGCUAACUCCGUGCCAGCAGCCGCGGUAAUACGGAGGAUCCGAGCGUUAUCCGGAUUUAUUGGGUUUAAAGGGUGCGUAGGUGGUUUGAUAAGUCAGCGGUGAAAGUUUGCAGAUUAACUGUAAAAAUGCCGUUGAGACUGUCGGACUUGAGUGUAAAUGAGGUAGGCGGAAUGCGUGGUGUAGCGGUGAAAUGCAUAGAUAUCACGCAGAACUCCGAUUGCGAAGGCAGCUUACUAAGCUACAACUGACACUGAAGCACGAAAGCGUGGGGAUCAAACAGGAUUGGAUACCCCAGUAGUCC